rnacentral:lncRNA from 1 species
UCUUGUUCAGUUCGUCUGAAGGAGAUUUCCGGUUCACUGUGAGGUCAAACGUCUCUGAUGGCUCCGCGGCGGUGGGCGGAAGCCUCAACAGCCAGCGCCAAACAAAACUGCUCAGUCUUGGUAAAGAACAAAGUCCAGACUCCGGCGAGCAGAAACUAAUGAGUCAUUCCUUCUUUUCUUGGCUUCCACAUCUAGGCAAGGCACCCAAGCCUUACUCUUUGAGCAGGUUCGUCCCUGUCCUCUGCCAUUGCCUUACCCAUGGUCCCCUGGGCCUCCCCAUCCCUGACCACCUUCAGAACAGCAUCCUGUUCCCACUCACUCCACACACGCCAUUGCUAAAGCACCUCUUCCAGUGGUAGGACCUCAAGCUUUAUGGAUUGGCAAAUUAAAAAAGAAAAUCUCUACA